rnacentral:rRNA from 1 species
AGAGUUUGAUCCUGGCUCAGGAUGAACGCUAGCGGUGUGCCUAAGGUAUGCAAGUCGAACGGCAGCGCGUCCUUCGGGAUGGCGGCGAGUGGCGAACGGCUGAGUAACACGUAGGAAUCUCCCCUUAAGUCUUGGAUAGCUCACCGAAAGGUGGGGUAAUACAAGAUAGUCCCCCGACUUAGUCGGGGGUAAAGAUUUAUUGCUUAAGGAUGAGCCUGCGUCCUAUCAGGUAGUUGGUGGGGUAAUUGCCUACCAAGCCUAUGACGGGUAGCUGGUCUGAGAGGAUGUACAGCCAGAAUGGGACUGCGACACGGCCCAUACUCCUACGGGAGGCAGCAAUUAGGAAUCUUGCACAAUGGACGAAAGUCUGAUGCAGCGACACCGCGUGGAGGAUGAAGGUUUUCGGAUUGUAAACUCCUUUUAUCGGGGAACAAGUUCUGAGUGUACCCGAUGAAUAAGGCCCCCCUAACUACGUGCCAGAAGGGUCGGUGAUGCGUAGGGGUCAAGCGUUAUCCGGAAUUACUGGGCGUAAAGAGAAGCGUAGGCGUCUUGUUAAGUUUGAUGUGAAAGAACGAAGCUCAACUUCGUAAUUGCAUCAAAUACUGCCAAGAUUGAGUCAGUCAUGGGAAAGCGGAAUUCCAGGUGGAGCGGUGAAAUGCGUUGAUAUCUGGAAGAACACCGAUGGCGAAGGCAGCUUUCUGGGACUGUACUGACGCUAAGGCUCGAAAGCGUGGGGAGCAAAACGGAUUAGAUACCCGUGUAGUCCACGCUGUAAACAAUCUCUGCUAGAUGUUUGUUCUCGACAAGGUUUCAACUUCGGUUGAUUCUACGUUUAGAAUGGGUGUCGCAGCUAACGCGUUAAGCAGAGCGCCUGGGGAGUACGACCGCAAGGUUAAAACUCAAAGGAAUUGACGGG